rnacentral:rRNA from 1 species
UACGAAGGGGGCUAGCGUUGCUCGGAAUCACUGGGCGUAAAGCGCACGUAGGCGGAUUGUUAAGUCAGGGGUGAAAUCCUGGAGCUCAACUCCAGAACUGCCUUUGAUACUGGCGAUCUCGAGUCCGGGAGAGGUAAGUGGAACUGCGAGUGUAGAGGUGAAAUUCGUAGAUAUUCGCAAGAACACCAGUGGCGAAGGCGGCUCACUGGCCCGGUACUGACGCUGAGGUGCGAAAGCGUGGGGAGCAAACAGG